rnacentral:rRNA from 1 species
GACGAACGCUGGCGGCGUGCUUAACACAUGCAAGUCGAACGGAAAGGCCCUGCUUUUGUGGGGUGCUCGAGUGGCGAACGGGUGAGUAACACGUGAGUAACCUGCCCUUGACUUUGGGAUAACUUCGGGAAACUGGGGCUCAUACCGGAUAGGAGCUCCUGCUUCAUGGUGGGGGCUUGAAAGUUUCGGCGGUUGGGGCUGGACUCGCGGCUUUUCAGCUUUUUGGUUGGGUAGUGGCUUACCAAGGAUUUGACGGGUAGCCGACCUGAGAGGGUGACCGGCCAAGUUGGGAUUGAGGUACGGCCCAGACUCCCACGGGAGGCAGCAGUGGGGGAUAUGGCACAAUGAGCGGAAGCAUAGUCAAGCAACGCCGCGUGCGGGAUGACGGCCUUCGGGUUGUAGACCGCUUUCGCCUGUGACGAAGCGUGAGUGACGGUAAUGGGUAAAGAAGCACCGGCUAACUACGUG